GUUGCUAUGUAGGCAGUAUAAUAGCUUUCACAGCUGCUUGCUGAAUGAAAUGGGAAAAACACACACAUACUUAGGGAGUGUGUGUAAGGAGAGGAAUUUCAGGAUCAAGGGAUGCAAGUGGCAGGAUAAAGUAAUCUUUUCAAGUUUUGAAGCCCCCAUAUGCCUACAGGAAUACACUGCUUAGCAAGCCAUGCCAGGCAGUUGCCCCUGGAGCCACAUCACCAUGGCUGAAAACACCACAGGAGCGAUGGCCACAGACUCUGUGCACUGCUGAGCUCUGCUGGAGAAGAAAGAAUUCUCAAAUGACACUUUGCUGAGCAAGAAGGCUUCUUUGAUGGGCUAAACGUUCCUGGGCAUGAGAAGGGGAGGAGGAACAGGAGAGGACAGAUGGUUCUCAUGGCAGGAAAAAGAUGACACCACUCUCAUUAUCCAAGGUAUCCAAAGAAGUUAUAAUUAGUGAGAGUUACUUCUAAUUAUAUUUCAUUUUGCAAUUAACAUGGAUUAAUGCUAUGACGAGCAACAAAGGAUGGAGAGGAUCAAAACAGCAGCAAGUUGUGAGACCACAGGGAUGUUUGUGCCUGGAAAAUGGAAGGAUGAGGUCAGCUUCAUGCUCUGGGGAUUUGACCAGUGAUGGAAUUUGAGAAAAAAGAAAACUCAGAAGUCACAUCUCCCAGAACCCCUUGAACUUUUCUGUGGUGCUGAAGUUUAGGAGGACCAAUGAAGGCACCAGGAUCCCAGCACUGAGAAAUAGCAAAAACAAAAAAAAAAAAAACAAAAACAAAAACAAAAAAACAAAAAAGAAAGUUUGGCAAUGAGGUCAAUGGCCACUUUCAGAGGAGUCCCCCAUUUCCUUGGGAUGGACCUAUCUUAAUAUCGCUGUGCUCAGUCUUUGCUGAGAGCAGCCUGUCUUGAAGGUGGCAUUGGUGCAAACACAGUGAUGGAUUUCAGAGGACUGCAACUGGUCCUUUGGUUCAAUGACGUUCCCUGGAGUUGGAGGUCUGAUAGGAGCCUUCACAAUGCUGUCCUUCUAGAUGACUUCAAUCCAUGGAGAUUGAAGAAGGGCUAAACACUUUCAACCCCCUGAGAAAGGUUAAUGUCUGAUCAUGACCUUCAAUAAGUAACAAGAAGAAGGUUUAAUUUCUUGAAAUAUUUUCUACCACCUUGAUUAAUUCUAGACUCUAGCUGGUGGAAUUACAAAAGAAAAGAAGCCCAAAUGAAAUUUUAUGGAAACACAAUGACCC
rnacentral:lncRNA from 1 species